rnacentral:rRNA from 1 species
AUGGGCGCGGGUGCGGAGAGAUCCAGCAACAAAAGAACCAUGGCGGCCGAUCCGACCAGCCGAGACGAUCCCUUGCCGGAGAAGAAGAAGAAGGUGGUGGAUCUGGGGAGCGACAGUGACGAGGACUUGCCUAAUCCGUCACAAUGGGCGGGGGUUAAUCCCGAUUCCUUCGGCGAUGACUACUUGGCCAAGAUGGAAAAGGCUAGACUCGACGAAGAAUCAGCUGGCGGCGGGGUUGCAGGCGUCGCGCCACGAGCUCUGGUGCGGCGUGGCUCCCCGGCGGCGUCUGGAAGCGGAUUCGGGGCUGCCCUUGGGGAUCUGGCGUGGGGAAGGGAUGGCUUGUGGCGGGAGGCGGGCUGGUGGUGCGUGGUGUUGAGGCCGGGGGUCGCGACGAGGGCGCCGGUGGACGGCCUGAUUGAGCAGCUCCGGAACUUUGGUUUUAUGAUCUUGGGCUGGGAGAAAUCCCUGCUUCAUGACGCUGAGGCUAGCAUGGCAACGUCCGUGGACUCCCUCCCUCGUGCUCAAGGGAAACCCUUGGUUCGGCCUUCGGACCAGGCGGCGGCGACCUGGAAUUCCGUCGUUCCCUCCUUGGUGCUCGAGGAGUCCCGGUGGCAUGGCUCUUAUCGGUGUCGGCUACUACUUUGGGCGUGGUCCUCCGAGGCGCAAUUAAUGUACACCAUCGCCGGAGCUCUCUCGAUGAUGACUCCUGUAGAGGUCUCUGCCGUCCAUCAUGACAUGCCUAGGUGGAGCAUGCAUUGUAGUUCCUGUGAUGGGUGCGUUUGGUGGAUAUGGAUUCUAAUCCUUGUGAUUGGCAUUGUAAUGGCCGAAAGGCGUUCUCCCCGCCCUGUGAAAAUUGCUACGCUCGACUACUACAAACCUGCCACCAGGUUUCACACCAUCGAGCUUUUCCCCGUCUUUCGAUCCGGAAGCAAGGCUGUGCUCCUCGCUGCGAAAUUUCUUCUAGGGAUUUCAUCCUCUCGUGAUGGUGAACCGCUAAGAAGGUGCUCUGGCUUCUGGGUCGAUUGGGAUGAGGAGAAGAAAACUGGCCUUGUUUUGACAACUGCGCGGCUGAUUCGCACAAAGGAUGCUCCUUACAGUGUCUGGUCAGGCGGUGAAGAGUAUGCUACAGAUGCUGAUGUCACUGUUCAUUUGCUAAAUGGCACCAGUGCAAAGGGCCAGCUGGUCUAUCUCCAGCCCCACUACGAUCUCGCUUUCCUGAGCGUUCAGGAGGAUCAACCAAUCAACUUACCAUCUUUGAAUGAAAAAGAUGUAGAAUUUGCUCAAGAGGUUUUUCGGCUCGGAAGAGACAAUUCCUUAAAUCUAAGGAUAACAUAUGCCAGGGCAGAAUAUUUGAAUCCAACCAUGUUUGAGCGGCACCACAAUGUAUACUUCCGUUCUCCAGAUGGCCAUGUUAUUGACCUGCGUGGAGAAGUUGUCGGAAUGGUCAACGUCCCUAAGAGAUUUGGGUCUUUCAUACCUUCUUCCAUUUUGCUCAAUUGUUUGGAUUCAUGGAAGAAAUAUCAGCACAUCGCCCGGCCUCAUCUUGGAAUGAUGUUUAAGGACAUCAAACUUCUAGAACCUGCUCAUGUUGACAUGUUAUGGCGUAUGUUUAACAUUGAUGAUGGUCUUAUUGUUCAAGAGGUGUCGGGAGGGUCGCCUGCUGAGAAAUUUGGAAUCCAAAAAGGUGAUAUUAUCGAAUCUUUCAAUGGAAAGCAUGUUUCUUCCACAAUUGAGAAUGUUUUUGUUUCCUGCAAUUAUCAGUUGGAAAAUACACUGAUGAGCAUAUACAAGGGAACUUUAGAUGCUGAAGUUCGUAUUUUUGUUGGGGUGUUUCACACACUCAAAGAACAAUGGAGCACCAUAGAGUUGACUGCAAAAUUAUCAGAACUUGGAGAAGUUAUUACAAGAGGUGGUGUGCAGCAAAAUGUGGAUUAA